UAGACAUAUAUGGUAAACGGAGAAGCUACAGCUGUGAUUGGCUGUUUAUUUUUUUUGCUCUACAUUCAAGUGAUUGGCUGUGAUCCACGAGACAAGAGGAGGUUUAAAAGGGGAGACUUGUUUUUUAACUUGAAGCAGAAUUUUGUCACUGCGUAGUGAUACACUUCAGACCAACCCAAUAGCAUUUACAGUACAGAGGGCGACGGACUCGAGAAGAGAUGAUGAUUUGCCUGAUCACAGUCACGCUCGCUCUUGUUCUUGGGUCCGAGGGAGCGGAUCACAGCGAUUACUCAUUUCCACCUCCCCACAAUUUAGAGGCCUGUAAAGAAAACAAUGACAGCAAGGCAUACAACAAGUUUGUUCAGAAACACAUCCUUCAAGAGGACUUCAACAGAAAAUUAAAGAAGGAAUGGCAAGCGUAAGUUAAGGGUCAAUAUACUCAAUAUCAAAUGGACACCGACUCGAUGAAGACAAUGCAGUGAUUCAUAUUUUAAAAGGAUAUCUGAAAUGAAUGUCCAGCGUCACACCAAUAUUGCAAAUGUAUUAUAUGUGUGUUUGUGAGUGUGUGGAUGUCAUAAUACUUUAAUGUGCCUUACCUAUUACUGAAACAUUUAUCUCAUUGUGCAGGUACAUAGAAAAGAAAAAACUCUGCAACAGACGCUUGCAGUCCUUCUUUGAGAAGACGCAGGAGGAACAUCUGAACAAGAUCUGUAAUGACUUUGGCAGGCCCCUGACUGGCCACGAUGAUAACUUGUGCAUCAGUAACUUCACCAUGAUGUUUUAUGAGGUCUAUGUCAACACAACAAGCUGCGAAAUUCUGACUUCUAAUAAUAAUCUGAAAAAAUCAAGCGAAGUGAUUGUGGCUUGUGAUAAAGUGGGUAACUGUUGCUGUCCUGUGCAUUUUGAGAGGUACACAAACCAAACAGCAAAUAACAAUGCAAAGCCCUGCAAGCCCUCGGGCUUAAACUGAGGUUUUGGAGAGAUAUUGAACAGAGGUUUCCAGGUGUAAGGCAUUGCGUGUUAGUUGGGGGUGUUUUUCUUAAUUAUUCAAUGAUAAAAACAGACUGUGGAUUAUUUUAGGGUUUAUUUGGCCGAGGUCAGACCAAACAUAGCAUAGCAUGAAUGACUGAAAAGCUUUUCAAUAAGCUUCUUACAUAUUC